rnacentral:rRNA from 1 species
GAGGUGAAAUUCGUAAAUAUUAGGAGGAACACCAGUGGCGAAGGCGUCUAUUUGGUUCAAAUCUGACGCUGAGGCGCGAAGGCGUGGGGAGCAAACAGGAUUAGAUACCCUGGUAGUCCACGCUGUAAACGAUGAAUGUUAAAUAUGGGAAGUUUUACUUUCUGUAUUACAGCUAACGCGUUAAACAUUCCGCCUGGGGACUACGGUCGCAAGAUUAAAACUCAAAGGAAUUGACGGGGACCCGCACAAGCGGUGGAGCAUGUGGUUUAAUUCGAUGCAACGCGAAAAACCUUACCACUCCUUGACAUGGAAAUUAUACCUAUUCGAAGGGAUAGGGUCGGUUCGUCCGGGUUUCACACAGGUGUUGCAUGGCUGUCGUCAGCUUGUGUCGUGAGGUGUUGGGUUAAGUCCCGCAACGAGCGCAACCCUCAUCCUUAGUUACCAUCAGGUAAUGCUGGGGACUUUAAGGAAACUGCCAGUGAUAAACUGGAGGAAGGUGGGGAUGAUGUCAAGUCAUCAUGGCCCUUAUGGAGUGGGCUACACACGUGCUACAAUGGUGGCUACAAUGGGCUGCAAAGUCGCGAGGCUAAGCUAAUCCCUUAAAAGCCAUCUCAGUUCGGAUUGUACUCUGCAACUCGAGUGCAUGAAGUUGGAAUCGCUAGUAAUCGUGGAUCAGCACGCCACGGUGAAUACGUUCUCGGGUCUUGUACACACUGCCCGUCACGCCAUGGGAAUUGGUUUCACUCGAAGCUAACGACCUAACAGCAAGGAGGGAGUUAUUUAAAGUGGGAUCGGUGACUGGGGAGAGGUCGUAACAAGGUAGCAGUAGGGGAAUCUGCGGC